GGUUAAGCGACUAAGCGUACACGGUGGAUGCCCUGGCAGUCAGAGGCGAUGAAGGACGUGCUAAUCUGCGAUAAGCGUCGGUAAGGUGAUAUGAACCGUUAUAACCGGCGAUUUCCGAAUGGGGAAACCCAGUGUGUUUCGACACACUAUCAUUAACUGAAUCCAUAGGUUAAUGAGGCGAACCGGGGGAACUGAAACAUCUAAGUACCCCGAGGAAAAGAAAUCAACCGAGAUUCCCCCAGUAGCGGCGAGCGAACGGGGAGCAGCCCAGAGCCUGAAUCAGUGUGUGUGUUAGUGGAAGCGUCUGGAAAGGCGCGCGAUACAGGGUGACAGCCCCGUACACAAAAAUGCACAUGCUGUGAGCUCGAUGAGUAGGGCGGGACACGUGGUAUCCUGUCUGAAUAUGGGGGGACCAUCCUCCAAGGCUAAAUACUCCUGACUGACCGAUAGUGAACCAGUACCGUGAGGGAAAGGCGAAAAGAACCCCGGCGAGGGGAGUGAAAAAGAACCUGAAACCGUGUACGUACAAGCAGUGGGAGCACAGAGCAAUCUGUGUGACUGCGUACCUUUUGUAUAAUGGGUCAGCGACUUAUAUUCUGUAGCAAGGUUAACCGAAUAGGGGAGCCGAAGGGAAACCGAGUCUUAACUGGGCGUUAAGUUGCAGGGUAUAGACCCGAAACCCGGUGAUCUAGCCAUGGGCAGGUUGAAGGUUGGGUAACACUAACUGGAGGACCGAACCGACUAAUGUUGAAAAAUUAGCGGAUGACUUGUGGCUGGGGGUGAAAGGCCAAUCAAACCGGGAGAUAGCUGGUUCUCCCCGAAAGCUAUUUAGGUAGCGCCUCGUGAAUUCAUCUCCGGGGGUAGAGCACUGUUUCGGCAAGGGGGUCAUCCCGACUUACCAACCCGAUGCAAACUGCGAAUACCGGAGAAUGUUAUCACGGGAGACACACGGCGGGUGCUAACGUCCGUCGUGAAGAGGGAAACAACCCAGACCGCCAGCUAAGGUCCCAAAGUCAUGGUUAAGUGGGAAACGAUGUGGGAAGGCCCAGACAGCCAGGAUGUUGGCUUAGAAGCAGCCAUCAUUUAAAGAAAGCGUAAUAGCUCACUGGUCGAGUCGGCCUGCGCGGAAGAUGUAACGGGGCUAAACCAUGCACCGAAGCUGCGGCAGCGACGCUGAUGCGUUGUUGGGUAGGGGAGCGUUCUGUAAGCCUGCGAAGGUGUGCUGUGAGGCAUGCUGGAGGUAUCAGAAGUGCGAAUGCUGACAUAAGUAACGAUAAAGCGGGUGAAAAGCCCGCUCGCCGGAAGACCAAGGGUUCCUGUCCAACGUUAAUCGGGGCAGGGUGAGUCGACCCCUAAGGCGAGGCCGAAAGGCGUAGUCGAUGGGAAACAGGUUAAUAUUCCUGUACUUGGUGUUACUGCGAAGGGGGGACGGAGAAGGCUAUGUUGGCCGGGCGACGGUUGUCCCGGUUUAAGCGUGUAGGCUGGUUUUCCAGGCAAAUCCGGAAAAUCAAGGCUGAGGCGUGAUGACGAGGCACUACGGUGCUGAAGCAACAAAUGCCCUGCUUCCAGGAAAAGCCUCUAAGCAUCAGGUAACAUCAAAUCGUACCCCAAACCGACACAGGUGGUCAGGUAGAGAAUACCAAGGCGCUUGAGAGAACUCGGGUGAAGGAACUAGGCAAAAUGGUGCCGUAACUUCGGGAGAAGGCACGCUGAUAUGUAGGUGAAGUCCCUCGCGGAUGGAGCUGAAAUCAGUCGAAGAUACCAGCUGGCUGCAACUGUUUAUUAAAAACACAGCACUGUGCAAACACGAAAGUGGACGUAUACGGUGUGACGCCUGCCCGGUGCCGGAAGGUUAAUUGAUGGGGUUAGCGCAAGCGAAGCUCUUGAUCGAAGCCCCGGUAAACGGCGGCCGUAACUAUAACGGUCCUAAGGUAGCGAAAUUCCUUGUCGGGUAAGUUCCGACCUGCACGAAUGGCGUAAUGAUGGCCAGGCUGUCUCCACCCGAGACUCAGUGAAAUUGAACUCGCUGUGAAGAUGCAGUGUACCCGCGGCAAGACGGAAAGACCCCGUGAACCUUUACUAUAGCUUGACACUGAACAUUGAGCCUUGAUGUGUAGGAUAGGUGGGAGGCUUUGAAGUGUGGACGCCAGUCUGCAUGGAGCCGACCUUGAAAUACCACCCUUUAAUGUUUGAUGUUCUAACGUGGACCCGUAAUCCGGGUUGCGGACAGUGUCUGGUGGGUAGUUUGACUGGGGCGGUCUCCUCCUAAAGAGUAACGGAGGAGCACGAAGGUUGGCUAAUCCUGGUCGGACAUCAGGAGGUUAGUGCAAUGGCAUAAGCCAGCUUGACUGCGAGCGUGACGGCGCGAGCAGGUGCGAAAGCAGGUCAUAGUGAUCCGGUGGUUCUGAAUGGAAGGGCCAUCGCUCAACGGAUAAAAGGUACUCCGGGGAUAACAGGCUGAUACCGCCCAAGAGUUCAUAUCGACGGCGGUGUUUGGCACCUCGAUGUCGGCUCAUCACAUCCUGGGGCUGAAGUAGGUCCCAAGGGUAUGGCUGUUCGCCAUUUAAAGUGGUACGCGAGCUGGGUUUAGAACGUCGUGAGACAGUUCGGUCCCUAUCUGCCGUGGGCGCUGGAGAACUGAGGGGGGCUGCUCCUAGUACGAGAGGACCGGAGUGGACGCAUCACUGGUGUUCGGGUUGUCAUGCCAAUGGCACUGCCCGGUAGCUAAAUGCGGAAGAGAUAAGUGCUGAAAGCAUCUAAGCACGAAACUUGCCCCGAGAUGAGUUCUCCCUGACUCCUUGAGAGUCCUGAAGGAACGUUGAAGACGACGACGUUGAUAGGCCGGGUGUGUAAGCGCAGCGAUGCGUUGAGCUAACCGGUACUAAUGAACCGUGAGGCUUAACCUU
rnacentral:rRNA from 1 species